rnacentral:rRNA from 1 species
UACGGGGGGGGGCAAGCGUUGUUCGGAAUUACUGGGCGUAAAGGGCUCGUAGGCGGCCAACUAAGUCAGACGUGAAAUCCCUCGGCUUAACCGGGGAACUGCGUCUGAUACUGGAUGGCUUGAAUCCGGGAGAGGGAUGCGGAAUUCCAGGUGUAGCGGUGAAAUGCGUAGAUAUCUGGAGGAACACCGGUGGCGAAGGCGGCAUCCUGGACCGGCAUUGACGCUGAGGGAGCGAAAGCCAGGGGAGCAAACGGG